rnacentral:rRNA from 1 species
GUGGGGAAUAUUGCACAAUGGGCGCAAGCCUGAUGCAGCGACGCCGCGUGGGGGAUGAAGGCCUUCGGGUUGUAAACUCCUUUCAGCCAUGACGAAGCGUAAGUGACGGUAGUGGUAGAAGAAGCACCGGCUAACUACGUGCCAGCAGCCGCGGUAAUACGUAGGGUGCGAGCGUUGUCCGGAAUUACUGGGCGUAAAGAGCUCGUAGGUGGUUUGUCGCGUCGUCUGUGAAAUUCCGGGGCUUAACUCCGGGCGUGCAGGCGAUACGGGCAUAACUUGAGUGCUGUAGGGGAGACUGGAAUUCCUGGUGUAGCGGUGAAAUGCGCAGAUAUCAGGAGGAACACCAAUGGCGAAGGCAGGUCUCUGGGCAGUAACUGACGCUGAGGAGCGAAAGCAUGGGUAGCGAACAGGA